UUAUGCCAAGUCAUUGCUAUAGUUGGCAAAAUAUUUAUUUAAAAUACCCUGAACCACCAUGUUCAAAGUGUUUAGUGAGCAAAGAAAGGAGCAGUAAAGUGUCACAAAAAUAAAUACAAAUAAAUAAAAAUUGCACAAUUAAAACAUCAUAAAUAUAAAACUCUCAUGUAACAUAAUUGAGUUACCACAUAAAUAUAAAACUCGCAUGUUAUAUCUUUGAGUUACCACAUUCAUUUUCAAAUUAUGUUUAUUUGAGUGUUCUAAACUUUACAGUUAUUAUCUCCAUGAACUUCAUAAAAUACCCAAGUUACCUCCCCUGGACCUCACCACAGUGAAAACAUUUGUUUAUCAGCUAAUUGCUUGAACUAAAUUGAGUUUGUGUAUAUGAAUACUAAACAUGGUGUUAAGAAAAUUUACAACUUAAUCACCACAGUUAUGUCAGUUACUUAAAGAUAACACUAAUGUCUUUUUCUAGAGCAAAAACAAAAAAAAAAUAGAGCAGGAACGAGAGGAUUUCGCACAGUAUACAUUUUCUAUAAUAGACUAAGCAAUGAACUCGCAUAAUUAAGCGUAAACAGCUUUGUCAAGGUCAAGAAGUAGAUAUUGAACAAUGUGCAUGACUGGGCCUACAUUUAGACGAAAUCUCGUAUUUCAAUAACUACUCGACCAAUUUGGACCAAAUUCCGGAAUAUAAGAUCAUCUUGACAUCCCUAUAUUACAAUAUUAUGCAGAUACAAUGGGUGAGAGAAGAUUAUACCUUUCCAAAUCUUAUCUUGUGAAGCUCCUGACUUGUUGUUGGCUUGAUACCUAAAGGAACGGUCAACUUUGAAGAUAUCUAAAUGAAAAUAAGUGUAUAUCUUUCUCUAGUAAUAAUCUGAUACGGUUUUAAAAUUUUAUAGCAUCGAUUAAGUAAUUUCCCUAGACCUCAUAAUUCUCAUAUAAUGAUUCUCGAACUUCCAGUUCACUUUAUACCGUAUAUAUCGGUUAAGAUACAAUAUAUGAAGGUGUUUAACUGUUAUUUGUAAUCAUGUUACGUAACCAACCUUAAGGAUUUUUUUCAAUUCAUUCGGGUUAAGGUUGUUCUUCAAAUCAAACCUUUGGAACAGUGAUCUCUGGAGAAAAAUGUAUCUCUACGGGUUAUCUUGGAAACAAUAUAUCUCAAUUGGAUAUCUUUCAUUUGUGUAAUCUUUCCUAUAUUUUCUGAUACCAUUUAUA